rnacentral:rRNA from 1 species
UGCGCAGGCGGUUCUGUAAGUUAGGUGUGAAAUCCCCCGGCUCAACCGUGGAAUUGCACUUAAUACUGCAGGACUUGAGAGUGAAAGGGGCAAGCGGAAUUCCAGGUGUAGCGGUGGAAUGCGUAGAUAUCUGGGAGAACGCCGAAGGCGAAGGCAGCUUGCUGGGUCACUUCUGACGCUCAUGCACGAAAGCUAGGGGAGCGAACA